ACUCAGUAUAAGGCAACUUCCUGUGUUCCCAUGUCAAACAAUUUGUGCCCAUUGUCAGUUUUGUUUUCCUUCCACAGGCACAAUACCACGAGGAAGCAAAGCUGUUCUUAUUUCCAAUUCAGUUAAAAGCUCCAUGACUGCUCUUUGUGCUUUUUUGAUAAAAGGAGGAGGAAAGGAAGUAUCGAUUAUAGAUUUCUUGUUUACGAUUGGCUUAUUCUGGAGGUAUUAUACCUGUGCAAAGCCAACACUUUUUUUGGUACAAUUGCUGUGGGGAAGCUACAGCGCACAAUUAUCAAAGACUGAAAUACAUAGGGACAUGCAGCAGGAGGGUAAAAGCGUGGCAGCAGGUGACUGAAGCAGGGACGAAGCAAGGUGACAGCACAGGAGAGAUACCUUAAGCAGGAACCAUUUCUUGGAUACCCAUUCCCUCUGCAAAUGGAAGGAGCUCUUCCAUGGCUGGAACUCCAAGGAUCCUAAGCAUUUAUACUAAGAAGUCUCACUGAGUUCAAUAUAGAGUGUGCCUGCCACUUCUACAAACAAAGAAGAGACAGGUCCCUGCCUGGAGGAAUUUACAAACUGUGACAGGUAUUCACUCCUUUCCAUGUCAGGCCUUCUGGAAACAACUGGAUCUGACACUUUUCAGGUGUCAAACUAUAACCAAUAGAAAACAAAAACAAACCAACAAAACUCAUCCAAUGAAAACCAUGCAGGCACAGCUGACAAAAUGUGACCAGUUGGAACUAUGGGAUGGAUCUAUAGCAACAGUGCAAUCCUGGCCAUGUCCACUCAGAAUUAAGUCCUAGUGAAUGCAAUGGUGCUUACUCCUGGGUAAGUGGAGUUGAGAUUGUAGCUGUACUUCAACCCCACUGAAAAUAACUUAAG